AUUGAACGCUGGCGGCAUGCCUUACACAUGCAAGUCGAACGGUAACAGGUUAAUCUGACGAGUGGCGAACGGGUGAGUAAUGUAUCGGAACGUGCCCAGUCGUGGGGGAUAACUGCUCGCAAGAGCAGCUAAUACCGCAUACGACCUGAGGGUGAAAGCGGUGGAUCGCAAGACCUCGCGCCAUUGGAGCUGCCGAUAUCAGAUUAGGUAGUUGGUGAGGUAAAGGCUCACCAAGCCGACGAUCUGUAGCUGGUCUGAGAGGACGACCAGCCACACUGGAACUGAGACACGGCCCAGACUCCUACGGGAGGCAGCAGUGGGGAAUUUUGGACAAUGGGCGCAAGCCUGAUCCAGCCAUGCCGCGUGCGGGAAGAAGGCCUUCGGGUUGUAAACCGCUUUUGUCAGGGAAGAAAAGGUUCUGGCUAAUACCUGGGACUCAUGACGGUACCUGAAGAAUAAGCACCGGCUAACUACGUG
rnacentral:rRNA from 1 species